GACGAACGCUGGCGGCGUGCUUAACACAUGCAAGUCGAACGAAGUGGCGAACGGGUGAGUAACGCGUAAUCAACCUGCCCUUCAGAGGGGAACAACAGUUGGAAACGACUGCUAAUACCGCAUACUGAAGGAGGGGAUGGCGUCGGAUUAGCUAUUUGGAGGGGUAACGGCCCCCCAAGGGGAUGAUCAGAAGCCGGUCUGGGAGGAGGGACGGCCACAGUGGGACUGAGACAAGGCCCAGGAUCCUACGGGAGGCAGCAGUGGGGAAACUUUCGCAAUGGACGAAAGUCUGACGGAGCAACGGCGCGUUAGUGAUGAAGGCCUUCGGGUUGGAAAGCUCUGUUAAUCGGGACGCGGUACCGGAAUAGAAAGCCACGGCUAACUACGUGCCAGCAGCCGCGGUAAUAC
rnacentral:rRNA from 1 species